rnacentral:rRNA from 1 species
AUUGAACGCUGGCGGCAUGCUUUACACAUGCAAGUCGAACGGUAACAGCACUUCGGUGGCUGACGAGUGGCACACGGGUGAGUAAUACAUCGGAACGUGCCUAGUAGUGGGGGAUAACUACUCGAAAGAGUAGCUAAUACCGCAUGAGAUCUAAGGAUGAAAGCAGGGGACCUUCGGGCCUUGCGCUACUAGAGCGGCUGAUGGCAGAUUAGGUAGUUGGUGGGAUAAAAGCUUACCAAGCCGACGAUCUGUAGCUGUCUGAGAGGACGACCAGCCACACUGGGACUGAGACACGGCCCAGACUCCUACGGGAGGCAGCAGUGGGGAAUUUUGGACAAUGGGCGCAAGCCUGAUCCAGCAAUGCCGCGUGCAGGAUGAAGGCCUUCGGGUUGUAAACUGCUUUUGUACGGAACGAAAAGCCCUCUUCUAAUACAGGAGGGUCAUGACGGUACCGUAAGAAUAAGCACCGGCUAACUACGUG